CGUAACGUUAGGUAACGUAACGUAGGUAAUGUAGCAUUACGUUACGCAAAGGUCGGACCUUUUCCUUUUUUUGUCUCCUCGUUGGUCUGUUUUACACCGGGCGUCCAGUAGGGAGAAGAUGAGAUGUCUUACCGAGCUAACCGUUGGAUGGCUCUCGGAGAACCUGCUCGGCCGCACUGUUGCUCGGAAUGACAAACAUGACAGCAGCCCUCGCGUGAUGGGAGAAUCACGGAAGCGCUCACCCGUGUCCACGGCCCCAGCAAUGCUACACGGAAGCGCCUGAUCUGCCCAAAGUAAGGCACGGAGUGCAAUCGCCACGCUCCAAAAGGGGGCCCAAUACCUGGCUGCGACCUUCCCACGUCCAGGUCACUUCAGAAUCAUCUCACACGGAGUUGUACGACAAUAGGAACACGUGGUGCCGACGGGCCAGCUCAGCAGAUUCCCGCACGCAGACAGUCCGCAGGAGACGUUUGUAGAUCACACGUCUGCUUCUGGCUUCCUCACCUUACCCCCGAGACACUUUCCUCCCCUUCAAGAAGGUGAGUCAUCUUCCACCAAUCAAAGAGGAGCACAAAUAAUCACUCCCCUCAGACCUCCCUCAUUUUUGAUUUGCACGUUUGAUAAAUGGUGUCUUUUCCCUGCUUUAAUUGCAAGCUCUUUUCAUCAUAAUUUGAUGUUUGUUUCCUGACGUUUUAGUGGCGAUGGCUGCGAGCACCAGGGCUAUAAUUUCUACAUCAAGGAAGUUGUUAUGAAUGAGUAGCAGGUGGAAUAUAGACAGCAGAGUCUGGAUUACACCACUGAUCUCACCUGGCAGGUGAAUUUAGGGAACUGAUAUUGACAAGUCAUCACAGUGAACGGGCAGACGCUGACACACACACACACACACACACAGAAACUCACACACAUGCACCGCACGCAGCGCAAACAGGAGAUAAUUAGGGUAAUUUUUUGUUUGAAGUAUUGUGCAUUGCAAUAAAAAUAGAACAGAUUAAAGAUGAGACAAUAAUAGAUCUAAAGAGGACCUUGACUGAAUGUUGUUCCAACAAAGCACAUUUUGUUUGACACCAUUCAUAUUGUCUGCUAAACUGAUAUGCUCUCCCAACUUCAUAAAACAGGGGGGAACAUGACAUAAGACAAAAUAUGCGAGACAUGCACUUGUUCAUCAACACUUUACACCACGAUGUACAGACUGUUAAUAUUAUCUUACUCUUCACAUUGACUGCCGUUCUUUAAGGAGGGAUGUAAAGAUUAGAAAAUCCACCAGUGAUGAAUAAUGCCAUCUGUAUUGAUAUAUUCCUUCCUUAUAUAACAUGCAAAAUGUGGAAUCUAAAGCGAGAGAAUACUGAAUUCAGGUCACAGCGCAGCAGGAAAUCUUCUUUUUCAUGUGAGAUCCAGAGGGGUCACUCUUAUGAACUCAUUAGGAGGGAAAUGCUAAUGUAGCUCUGUUUUUUUUUUUUUCUUCUCUCCGCUCCUUAAUUCUAUUUCCUUUCUCUCCACUUCAACUUCCCUGGUUAUUUUGACAACCGGGGCUGCAAAGCUUUCUGCAGAGGAUAAUGUAUUUUGAUGUCAAAGAAAAAGUGUGUACGGUGGUUUUGACAGCGUCGUUGGAGAGAGGCUGGCGUUCGCCGCCUUGUCAUCAAGUUGCUAAACUAGAAUUAUUACACAGCCUACCAAGCCUCAUCUUUGUCUACGUUGGGAUUAUUACUGAUGCACCUAUUCUACUGCUGUGAACAAUAGUCAUUAAAUGAAUGAAAAACAGGUUAAAAAAGAAGUCUUUAUGCUCGGUGAAAUAUGUACAUUAGUGUGGUACCCUGGCGAACACGUGACCUGUUCAUUUUUCUGCAGCUGCCUCUCAUUGUGCAGCAAACAUUUAAUAAUGAAUCUCUCACGCCAUAACGUCCCCAACUCAUAUAGCAUUGGUUAUUCAUUUUAAUUUAUGCAAGAAACUUGCUCAAAUUGAAUUUUUCAUGUUCCUUUAUAGGGGCUAAUAUGCUUCACACAAAACUUUUAAAUAAAAUUUAAUCAAAUAUUUUAAUUUCAAUAUUUUUCAUCUCAUUACCUGCUCCUUGUAUUAAACGGAAAUUCAGUUAACCAAUUCUUCAAAACAAAUUUACCGUCAUUUUUUAAAUUUCUCUUUUCCUACUUUCAUUAGUAUUUAUUUUGACAUUGAACAUCUACAUCUUACAACGCUUAGUUGAUGUUGGUUUUGCUAGUCAUUGUCCCUCACAGCUUUGAGACCAUUGAACCAUUAAUACAAAAAAAUGUAUUUAAAAAUUUGCUUUUGCUGAUCUUCUAAACUUAUUUAAAUGUAAGUGGUUCCCCUUUCAUCUGCCACUAUAGGUGAAUUUUUCUACUUCAUAUGGGACUAUUUUGUUUGUCAUUUGUUUACAAAGAGAUAAAUAUUGAAAGACAACGCAUGCUCCUCAAAGUUUAGAACUUCUUAAAUGGUCCUAAACUUAAAUUACACAAAUUCUAAUAGACUGCUUCAUCCAUCAAAACAUCAAAUCAAUAAAAUCAUGUUUUAAGCUUCAUAAACCACAAACAGCUAUUAUACGGAAAUUGGUUCAAAAUCCUAUUAAAAAGCGUUCAUUGGUAUAGAAACAUGUUACGUAUGUUUUUGGAGUAGCUAAAGGCCAAAGGUCUCAAAGAUCCCAAACAGAACAUUGGGGUUACACUACUUAACAAAGUUUUAUAUAUUCUAAAUUAAAAUAUAUUGCGAUGCCAAAAAGCCAAAGCCAAGAAUCAAACAUGAAUCAUUUAGUCCUGUGAUUAGUUCAAUCUGUUUCAUUUUUCACACCUUGGAUCUCUUCACCCUGGGCCCUGCAGGCCUGCACUGUCUCUUAAUAGGCCUACCAAAAAUCGUUUUUUCCACAUACCUCCCUUCCUCCCAAUUUUAUAAUUAAAACCAUAUCCAAGGUGAAUGCUGCUAAAGACGCAGAAUAAAAAUAUAUUUCAAUGGCAUCAAAUUGUUUCCAGCGUGGUUGUAGGGUGGUGGUGGAUGAAGGUAGCGUCAUUUCAGGUCGUGCCAAAAAAGAAAAGUGGUGGAUAAUUAAAUUAAAGAAGUACUGUGAUGAGGCAGAGUCAGAGCAUCGAGGGAAACAGCACAUUUUAUACCGUGUAUCAAGUUUCACGUUCUACUCUUUUGGGCUGGAAACACGCAAUAUAAUGUAAAAGGAUUUUUAAAUGAAAGCUUUGUUUCUUUCUCUCAUUCAGUGUUGCAUUCAAGCGUGUGUCGCUGUCUGUAUCCCUCGUGCGUGCGUGCCCGUGUGUUUGUGAGUGUGGGCGCGUGUGGGAGCGCGCGCUUUCCGCUAUACUCUGGAAUGUAGCCAGUCCCGGCUCUUUUGAAUCCAGCCUCUGCUGCCUUUGAUCUUUUCUUCUUUUUUUUGCUGUAUCCUUACCCGGAAGAGCUCUCUCUGUCUCUCCCUCUCUCUCUCUCCCCCUCUCUCUCUCCCCCCUCUCUCUCUCUUUCAGCUGGGAUGAACGCACACGUGGAAAUGUUGGCCCGGCUCCAUACUCGGACCAAAUUUAGUCAUACAAAG